UACAGAGGCCACAAGCGUUAGGCGGAAUCACUGGGCUUAAAGCGUGUGUAGGCGGACCGUUAAGUGCUUUGUGAAAUCCCACGGCUCAACCGUGGAACUGCUUGGCAUACUGGCGGUCUUGAGCCACCUAGGGGCAGCUGGAACUAACGGUGGAGCGGUGAAAUGCGUAGAUAUCGUUAGGAACGCCAACGGUGAAAAAAGGCUGCGGGGGGUGAGCUGACGCUGAGACACGAAAGCCAGGGGAGCAAACGGG
rnacentral:rRNA from 1 species